rnacentral:rRNA from 1 species
UACAGAGGUCUCGAGCGUUAGGCGGAAUCACUGGGCUUAAAGCGUGUGUAGGCGGAUCGGUAAGUACCUUGUGAAAUCCCACAGCUUAACUGUGGAACUGCUUGGUACACUGCCAGUCUUGAGCCACUUAGGGGCUACCGGAACAAAUGGUGGAGCGGUGAAAUGCGUAGAUAUCAUUUGGAACGCCAAUGGUGAAAACAGGUAGCUGGGAGUGUGCUGACGCUGAGACACGAAAGCCAGGGGAGCAAACGGG